GACGGGGACCCGCACAAGUGGUGGAGCACGUGGUUUAAUUGGAAGAUACGCGAAGAACUUUACCUAGCCUUGACGUAUUUUAGAACACUUUAGAGAAAGAGUGGUCCCUUCGGGAGCUAAUAUACAGGUGCUGCACGGCUGUCGUCAGCUCGUGUCAUGAGAUGUUGGGUUAAGUCCCGCAACGAGCGCAACCCUCGUCACUAGUGACUAACGGUUCGGCCGAGGAAUUUAGUGAGACUGCCUUAGUAAGGAGGAGGAAGGUGAGGACGACGUCAAGUCAUCAUGGCCCUUACGGUUAGGGCAACACACGUGCUACAAUGGCCAGGACAAUGAGACGCGAUACCGCGAGGUGGAGCAAAUCUAUAAACCUGGUCUCAGUUCGGAUUGUAGUCUGCAACUCGACUACAUGAAGCUGGAAUCACUAGUAAUCGUAGAUCAGCUAUGCUACGGUGAAUACGUUCCCGGGUCUUGCACACACUGCCC
rnacentral:rRNA from 1 species